AUUGAACGCUGGCGGCAGGCCUAACACAUGCAAGUCGAACGGCAGCAGGGUGAAGGCUGCUUCUUUCCGGGGGAGAGGGGCGGGCGGGUGAGAUAUAUCGCGACGUGUCGUGUAGCGGGGGAGAACAAGCAGAGAGGGUGACGCUAAUAGCGUAUAUUCUGAGGGAGAGAGAUGGGGGGAUCGUAAUAGGUUUAGCGAUUGUUUGGGGGGCGAUGUCGGAUUAGCUAGUUGGGGAGGUAAAGGCUCACCAAGGCGACGAUCCGUAGCGGGUCUGAGAGGAUGAUCCGCCACACUGGAACUGAGACACGGUCCAGACUCCUACGGGAGGCAGCAGUGGGGAAUUUUGGACAAUGGGCGCAAGCCUGAUCCAGCCAUGCCGCGUGGAUGAAGAAGGCCUUCGGGUUGUAAAGUACUUUUGUUGGGGAAGAAAAGCCACAGGUGAAUACCCCGCUGUACUGACGGUACCCAAAGAAUAAGCACCGGCUAACUUCGUG
rnacentral:rRNA from 1 species